GCCAACGAUCAUACCACGUUGAAUACACCAGUCCCCGUGGGAUCACUGAAGUUAAGCAACGUCGGGCGUGGUCAGUACUAGGAUGGGUAACCACUUGGGAACACCACGUAUCGUUGGCUCCA
rnacentral:rRNA from 1 species